AGAGUUUGAUCCUGGCUCAGAUUGAACGCUGGCGGCAUGCUUUACACAUGCAAGUCGAACGGCAGCACGGGCUUCGGCCUGGUGGCGAGUGGCGAACGGGUGAGUAAUGCGUCGGAACGUGCCCAGUCAUGGGGGAUAACUACGCGAAAGCGUAGCUAAUACCGCAUACGCCCUGAGGGGGAAAGCGGGGGAUCGCAAGACCUCGCGUGAUUGGAGCGGCCGAUGUCGGAUUAGCUAGUUGGUGGGGUAAAGGCCUACCAAGGCGACGAUCCGUAGCGGGUCUGAGAGGAUGAUCCGCCACACUGGGACUGAGACACGGCCCAGACUCCUACGGGAGGCAGCAGUGGGGAAUUUUGGACAAUGGGGGCAACCCUGAUCCAGCCAUGCCGCGUGAGUGAAGAAGGCCUUCGGGUUCUAAAGCUCUUUCAGACGGAAAGAAAUCGGGCGGGU
rnacentral:rRNA from 1 species